AUGAACGCUGGCGGCGUGCCUAAUACCUGCAAGUCGCGCGAACGGACGAGAAGCUUGCUUUUCUGAUGUUAGCGGCGGACGGGUGAGUAACACGUGGAUAACCUACCUAUAAGACUGGGAUAACUUCGGGAAACCGGAGCUAAUACCGGAUAAUAUUUUGAACCGCAUGGUUCAUAAGUGAAAGACGGUCUUGCUGUCACUUAUAGAUGGAUCCGCGCUGCAUUAGCUAGUUGGUAAGGUAACGGCUUACCAAGGCAACGAUGCAUAGCCGACCUGAGAGGGUGAUCGGCCACACUGGAACUGAGACACGGUCCAGACUCCUACGGGAGGCAGCAGUAGGGAAUCUUCCGCAAUGGGCGAAAGCCUGACGGAGCAACGCCGCGUGAGUGAUGAAGGUCUUCGGAUCGUAAAACUCUGUUAUUAGGGAAGAACAUAUGUGUAAGUAACUGUGCACAUCUUGACGGUACCUAAUCAGAAAGCCACGGCUAACUACGUG
rnacentral:rRNA from 1 species